rnacentral:rRNA from 1 species
AACAAUGCGGGUGCUAUAAUGCAAGUCGUGCGGACCUUUUAAAAGCUUGCUUUUAAAAGGUUAGCGGCGGACGGGUGAGUAACACGUGGGCAACCUGCCUGUAAGAUCGGGAUAACGCCGGGAAACCGGGGCUAAUACCGGAUAGUUUUUUCCUCCGCAUGGAGGAAAAAGGAAAGACGGCUUCGGCUGUCACUUACAGAUGGGCCCGCGGCGCAUUAGCUAGUUGGUGGGGUAACGGCUCACCAAGGCAACGAUGCGUAGCCGACCUGAGAGGGUGAUCGGCCACAUUGGGACUGAGACACGGCCCAAACUCCUACGGGAGGCAGCAGUAGGGAAUCUUCCGCAAUGGACGAAAGUCUGACGGAGCAACGCCGCGUGAGUGAAGAAGGCCUUCGGGUCGUAAAACUCUGUUGCCGGGGAAGAACAAGUGCCGUUCGAACAGGGCGGCGCCUUGACGGUACCCGGCCAGAAAGCCACGGCUAACUACGUGCCAGCAGCCGCGGUAAUACGUAGGUGGCAAGCGUUGUCCGGAAUUAUUGGGCGUAAAGCGCGCGCAGGCGGCUUCUUAAGUCUGAUGUGAAAUCUUGCGGCUCAACCGCAAGCGGUCAUUGGAAACUGGGAGGCUUGAGUGCAGAAGAGGAGAGUGGAAUUCCACGUGUAGCGGUGAAAUGCGUAGAGAUGUGGAGGAACACCAGUGGCGAAGGCGGCUCUCUGGUCUGUAACUGACGCUGAGGCGCGAAAGCGUGGGGAGCAAACAGGAUUAGAUACCCUGGUAGUCCACGCCGUAAACGAUGAGUGCUAAGUGUUAGAGGGUUUCCGCCCUUUAGUGCUGCAGCUAACGCAUUAAGCACUCCGCCUGGGGAGUACGGCCGCAAGGCUGAAACUCAAAGGAAUUGACGGGGGCCCGCACAAGCGGUGGAGCAUGUGGUUUAAUUCG